CCUGCCUCCUGAGUGCUGGGAUUAAAGAUGUGUGCCCCACCACCCAUUGUUUGUGUAUUUUUGAGGCCAAGUCUCACUGUGUAGACCAGGCUGGCUCUACACUCACAGAGCGAUGCGAGGCCUCUCGCCUCCGCCACCCCAUUGCCACCAAGCCUGGCAGUGCCUCUGGGUUCUGUGCGGCAAAAGUGGAAGAAGAAACCACUGAUUCCACCACCUUACAACCAACCAACCCUGCAAGGAAGGCACACAGGUCAACAGAAGUCUCCUGCCUCCUCCGUGGAUGUGUGUUCUGCCUGCUCAGCCCGGGCCAGAGGGGCCUGGGGCUGCGGAAGUAGUCACGGCCAGGGAGAGAUCUCAGUCCGCUGUCCUUCCCUGGACCCCGAGACUGGGGAAAGGCCUCUUUGACUCGGCUCUCCCGGUGCCACACUCACUCGCUGGCCCUGCUUGGCUCUUCCUUUGGUCCAGGCGGAACUAGAGGUCUUUAAGCCUGAGCCACUCGUGAGGAGCCAUCCCCACUGAACAGAUCAUCCCCCUGCGGCAGUACACUCCCUGCUGUCUGUCAUCGUCGGGGAAGCGAUGGGACAGUGUGUCCUCUGAUCCACAGAACAUGCUGCGUUAGGACCUCCCAGCAACCUGAUGGUGAGCACAGAGCCCCCACCCGCCUUUCCCGUGUGCACCACCUACUUUCCCUGCCCCCACCACCCGCCUUCCUCGGGUCCACCUCCGGGUGCCCACCACCCACCUGCCCCGUGGCCUUCCCGGCAGGGCUUCCUCUUACACACAAACCAUUCCCUGUGGGUUUGGUGUGCAGAAUGUCUGGAGUUGAGACAGAAAACGUCAGGGCACGGCUGUUUCAUUUCAACAAAAGACGAUGUCUAAAGCGAACUUAACAUAAAUCCUUUCACCCUCCCUUUAUCUGACCAAAUAACUACUCAGAAACCUAAAGCACAAACUAUUGUAGCUCUUCUCUCAAAGCCUCAGACGUAGGGACUGCCUGGAGCGUUCUGGAAGGUUCCCAUGGAUGGAGGUACUCUGCUGAGAUCCUGGGAUGUUUGCUGUGAGCUUGACCUCCAUUGGAAGGCAUGGUGCCAGACUAGAUGCCCUGUCACUGAGCCACACAUUAGCCCGACAAUGCAUCUUUGUUUAUGAAGGACCAAGUUACCCACAGGCUUGGCACUUGUUCCACCCCCAUGCUGAGUGAGAGAUUAAUUUAGAAGGAAUCCUGUCCGAACAUUACACCCUACUUCAUUUCUUAACAUUCUAACUUCCUUGUAUGAACUGUGAUUAUUAAGGAAAUUAAUAAACCUACAGUUCUAACCA